CUACGGGAGGCAGCAGUGAGGAAUGUUGGUCAAUGGUCGGGAGACUGAACCAGCCAAGCCGCGUGAGGGAUGAAGGUACAGAGUAUCGUAAACCUCUUUUGUCAGGGAACAAAGGCGGGGACGUGUCCCCGGAUGAGUGUACCUGAAGAAAAAGCAUCGGCUAACUCCGUGCCAGCAGCCGCGGUAAUACGGAGGAUGCGAGCGUUAUCCGGAUUUAUUGGGUUUAAAGGGUGCGCAGGCAGUCUGUUAAGUCAGCGGUCAAAGCCCGGGGCUCAACCCCGGCCCGCCGUUGAAACUGGCAGUCU
rnacentral:rRNA from 1 species